rnacentral:rRNA from 1 species
GGGGGUUUUCCCUUUCCCUUGGGGAAUCCGGUGGCCGGUAGGCUAAACGCCAUUUAAGUUCCCCCCGCCCUUGGGGAGUUACGGCCCGCCAUGGGCUAAAAACUCAAAAGAAAAUUGACCGGGGGCCCCGCACAAGUGGGCGGAGCCAUGUGGAUUUAUUUCGAUGCAACGCGAAAGAACCCUUGCCUGGGUUUGACAUGCACAGGACGCUGGUAGAGAUAUCAGUUCCCUUGUGGCCUGUGUGCAGGUGGUGCAUGGCUGUCGUCAGCUCGUGUCGUGAGAUGUUGGGUUAAGUCCCGCAACGAGCGCAACCCUCGUUCGAUGUUGCCAGCGGUUCGGCCGGGGACUCACAGAAGACUGCCGGGGUCAACUCGGAGGAAGGUGGGGAUGACGUCAAGUCAUCAUGCCCCUUAUGUCCAGGGCUUCACGCAUGCUACAAUGGCCGGUACAAAGGGCUGCGAUACCGUGAGGUGGAGCGAAUCCCAAAAAGCCGGUCUCAGUUCGGAUCGGGGUCUGCAACUCGACCCCGUGAAGUUGGAGUCGCUAGUAAUCGCAGAUCAGCAACGCUGCGGUGAAUACGUUCCCGGGCCUUGUACACACCGCCCGUCACGUCAUGAAAGUCGGUAACACCCGAAGCCGGUGGCCUAACCCCUCGGGGAGGGAGCCGUCGAAGGUGGGGCGG